GACGAACGCUGGCGGCGUGCUUAACACAUGCAAGUCGAACGAGUGGCGAACGGGUGAGUAAUACGUGAGUAACCUGCCCUCUUUUUGGGAUAAGCCUUGGAAACGGGGUCUAAUACCGGAUAAAGGGUGAUGGGCUCGCGGCCUAGCAGCUGGUUGGUGGGGUGAUGGCCUACCAAGGCGGUGACGGGUAGCCGGCCUGAGAGGGUGGCCGGCGACAUUGGGACUGAGAGACGGGCGAGACUCCUACGGGAGGCAGCAGUGGGGGAGAUGGCAGAAGGGGCGGAAGCCUGAUGCGGCGACGCCGCGUGGGGGAUGAAGGCUUUCGGGUUGUAAACCUCUUUCGCUAUCGAAGGGGUAGGUGGAGAAGAAGCGCCGGCUAACUACGUGCCAGCAGCCGCGGUAAUAC
rnacentral:rRNA from 1 species